GAAAGAGCUUACGAACUUCACGAAAUUUGAGCGUCUUUUAGAGCUUCUACGGAGCUUUACGUCAUUUCGACCUUAUUAAAUUGGAUAUUGCCUGUUCUGUCCGAGUCAGCGAAUGCUUCUUAAGCUGGUCCAAAUGGUUUUGAUGCUUUGUCGAGGAUUCUUACUUUUCAGUUCGUCUCGACUUUUGUUCAGGACAGUUUCAAGAAGAAAGUGAGAACACCUCCAAAUCAAGAAAGUCAAGGAAGGAGAGAAAUACUCUGACAACGUCAAAUAAGACUGACAGGCGAAUAACUUAAAUGCCUCAAGCAAGAAUCACACAAGAAAAGCUAUGAUUCGAGUGAAAUACACGAUUUUAAAAACAGAGGUCGCGCAUUUCUUUCAAAAACAUCUUGAGUCGGAGCUAAGAUUCUAAAGUCCCAAAGUCGAGGACUGGAGAGUUGUAACUUUUUUUGGUCGGUUCAUCAACCUUAAGGGAUGUUUAAAAUAGAAAAUUUUCCCGCCGAAAAACU